rnacentral:tRNA from 1 species
UGAUUAGCUCAGUUGGUUCAGAGCACCUGGUUUACACCCAGGGGGUCGGGGGUUCGAGUCCCUCAUCGCC